UGUACAGAUGGAACACUGGCUGUGGAUUAUUCUUGCUGCUCUUUUCUUUGAGUGUAAAGGAGAAGACAAAGUGAUCCAGACACAAGGAGAUGUCAUUGCUACUGAAGGAGACACUCUCACACUCAACUGUACUUUUGAGAGCAGUGCUUCAUAUUCGUAUUUGUUCUGGUACAAACAGGAGAUUGAUGGUUCUCCAAAGUACAUGCUACAACGAUACACUGGAGCAAAGGAUAAGCCUUCAACUGGAGAGAGAAUUUAUGCUGAAAUCGUCCAGAACUCAGUUCCUCUGAAGAUCCAGAAGCUUCAUGUGUCUGACUCUGCUGUGUACUACUGUGCUCUGAGGCCCACAGUGACAGGAAACACCAAAACUCUGAACAAAAACCUUUGGAGCAAAGACAACACAAUGGCCAUGUAG